rnacentral:lncRNA from 1 species
GAGUGUCUUCUGCCCUGCUUGGGCUUCUACUCCAGCACUAGGAAGACUCCUACUUUGCUAUCUUUCUCUUGACAUUUCUUCUUUUCUGCAUCUCCUGAUUGACUGUCCCUUCUACCCAGUGUGGUGUGGACAUGGCUUAAAACUACAUCAGUGUUUCUUCUACUUGCACACAUCCUGAAGGAGAUUUGGGUACUUGAAAGAAGCUUGCAUGUGCCAAAGGAUCUACGAGGAAUUUAUAUACCCGGGAAGAUAGACAUAAUCUGGAGAGACAAGAAUAUCUAGAUUAUUUUUGUAGAAAAUGAUACAAAUUUGUCAUGCAAGCUACACUUUCUUGAGCAAGCUAAGG